rnacentral:rRNA from 1 species
GGGUUGUGAGGUUAAGCGACUAAGCGUACACGGUGGAUGCCCUGGCAGUCAGAGGCGAUGAAGGACGUGCUAAUCUGCGAAAAGCGUCGGUAAGGUGAUAUGAACCGUUAUAACCGGCGAUGUCCGAAUGGGGAAACCCAGUGUGAUUCGUCACACUAUCGUUAACUGAAUACAUAGGUUAACGAGGCGAACCGGGGGAACUGAAACAUCUAAGUAC